UUUGGAUCCACUAGUUUAAUGCUAUGGUUAGACUUUGUCUUAAUUCUUCUUUCAUAGUUGCGGAUGCUUGCAAGAGGGGUUAAUCAUAAGGGGUAUGCUUGUCCAAGUAAGGGCAGUAACCAAGCGCCGGUCCUCCCACAUAUCAAACUAUCAAAGUAACGAACGUGAAUCAUAUGAACAUGAUGAAAACUAGCAUGACGGAAAUUCCCGUGUGUCCUCGGGAGCGUUUUUCCUCCUAUAAGACUUUGUCCAGGCUUGUCCCUUGCUACAAAAGGGAUUAGGACACUUCGCUGCACCGUUGCUACUUUUGUUACUUGUUGCUUCCUACAAAUCAUCUCAUCAC
rnacentral:lncRNA from 1 species